UCCCUGGUGGUCCAGUGGUUAAGACUCUGUGCUUCCACUGCAGGGGGCACAGGUUCAAUCCCUGGUAAGGGGA
rnacentral:tRNA from 1 species